rnacentral:rRNA from 1 species
UAGAGUUUGAUCCUGGCUCAGGAUUAACGCUGGCGGUAUGCCUAAUACAUGCAAGUCGAACGAGAUUUAUGAUUAAGUUUCAAGUCCCAAGUUCCAAGUUUUGAGUUUAUCUUAAACACUUGUUACAUGGCACCUGAUACUUUAUUACAUUUCUAGUGGCGGACGGGUGAGUAACACGUUGGAACCUGCCCCAAAGUGAGGAAUAAGCCACCGAAAGGUGGUCUAAUACUUCAUAAUAUCCAUCUCGUAUGGAUUAAAGCUUUAUGCGCUUUGGGAGGGGCCUGCGUAACAUUAGCUUGUUGGUGAGGUAAAAGCUCACCAAGGCUUCGAUGUUUAACUGGUUUGAGAGGAUGACCAGUCACACUGGGACUGAGAUACGGCCCAGACUCCUACGGGAGGCAGCAGUAAGGAAUCUUCCACAAUGGGGGCAACCCUGAUGGAGCAAUACCGCGUGCAGGAUGAAGCGUUUCGGCGUGUAAACUGCAUUUAUCACCGAAGAUUAUGACUGUAGGUGAAGAAUAAGGACCGAGCGGACUACGUGCCAGCAGCCGCGGUAAUA